rnacentral:rRNA from 1 species
GAUGAACGCUGGCGGCGUGCUUAACACAUGCAAGUCGAACGGACAGGCUCUGCUUUUGUGGGUUGCUAGCGUGCCGAACGGGUGAGUAAAACGUGAGUAACACGCACUUGACUUAGUGAUAACUCCACGAAAAUCGGGCUAAUACAGGAUAGGAGCUCUUGAUCCGUGGUGGCGGUUGGCAAGUGUCGGUGGUCGGGGAUCGUCUCGCGGCUUCUCAGCUUGUUUGUGGGGUAGUGGAUUACCAAGGCUUAGACGGGUAGCCCGCCUGAGAAGGUGACCGGCCACAUUGCGACUGAGAUACGGCCCAGACAGGAACGGGAAGCAGCAGUUGAAAAUAUUGCACAAUGGGCGGAAGCCUGGUGCAACACCGCCGCGUGCGGAAUAACCGCCUUCGGGUUGUAAACCUCUUUCGCCUGUGACGAAGCCAGAGUGACGGUAAUGUGUAAAAAAGCACCGGCUAACUACGUG